rnacentral:rRNA from 1 species
CAGCGGUUCGAUCCCGCUAGUCUCCACCAUUUAUUUUUACACGAUGAACAUUGAAAACUGAAUGACAAUAUGUCAACGUUAAUUCCAAAAAACGUAACUAUAAGUUACAAACAUUAUUUAGUAUUUAUGAGCUAAUCAAACAUCAUAAUUUUUAUGGAGAGUUUGAUCCUGGCUCAGGAUGAACGCUGGCGGCUUACCAAGGCAACGAUGCAUAGCCGACCUGAGAGGGUGAUCGGCCACACUGGAACUGAGACACGGUCCAGACUCCUACGGGAGGCAGCAGUAGGGAAUCUUCCGCAAUGGGCGAAAGCCUGACGGAGCAACGCCGCGUGAGUGAUGAAGGUCUUCGGAUCGUAAAACUCUGUUAUUAGGGAAGAACAUAUGUGUAAGUAACUGUGCACAUCUUGACGGUACCUAAUCAGAAAGCCACGGCUAACUACGUGCCAGCAGCCGCGGUAAUACGUAGGUGGCAAGCGUUAUCCGGAAUUAUUGGGCGUAAAGCGCGCGUAGGCGGUUUUUUAAGUCUGAUGUGAAAGCCCACGGCUCAACCGUGGAGGGUCAUUGGAAACUGGAAAACUUGAGUGCAGAAGAGGAAAGUGGAAUUCCAUGUGUAGCGGUGAAAUGCGCAGAGAUAUGGAGGAACACCAGUGGCGAAGGCGACUUUCUGGUCUGUAACUGACGCUGAUGUGCGAAAGCGUGGGGAUCAAACAGGAUUAGAUACCCUGGUAGUCCACGCCGUAAACGAUGAGUGCUAAGUGUUAGGGGGUUUCCGCCCCUUAGUGCUGCAGCUAACGCAUUAAGCACUCCGCCUGGGGAGUACGACCGCAAGGUUGAAACUCAAAGGAAUUGACGGGGACCCGCACAAGCGGUGGAGCAUGUGGUUUAAUUCGAAGCAACGCGAAGAACCUUACCAAAUCUUGACAUCCUUUGACAACUCUAGAGAUAGAGCCUUCCCCUUCGGGGGACAAAGUGACAGGUGGUGCAUGGUUGUCGUCAGCUCGUGUCGUGAGAUGUUGGGUUAAGUCCCGCAACGAGCGCAACCCUUAAGCUUAGUUGCCAUCAUUAAGUUGGGCACUCUAAGUUGACUGCCGGUGACAAACCGGAGGAAGGUGGGGAUGACGUCAAAUCAUCAUGCCCCUUAUGAUUUGGGCUACACACGUGCUACAAUGGACAAUACAAAGGGCAGCGAAACCGYGAGGUCAAGCAAAUCCCAUAAAGUUGUUCUCAGUUCGGAUUGUAGUCUGCAACUCGACUACAUGAAGCUGGAAUCGCUAGUAAUCGUAGAUCAGCAUGCUACGGUGAAUACGUUCCCGGGUCUUGUACACACCGCCCGUCACACCACGAGAGUUUGUAACACCCGAAGCCGGUGGAGUAACCUUUUAGGAGCUAGCCGUCGAAGGUGGGACAAAUGAUUGGGGUGAAGUCGUAACAAGGUAGCCGUAUCGGAAGGUGCGGCUG